GGGUUGUGAGGUUAAGCGACUAAGCGUACACGGUGGAUGCCCUGGCAGUCAGAGGCGAUGAAGGGCGUGCUAAUCUGCGAUAAGCGCCGGUAAGGUGAUAUGAACCGUUAUAACCGGCGAUACCCGAAUGGGGAAACCCAGUGUGACUCGUCACACUAUCAUUAACUGAAUCCAUAGGUUAAUGAGGCGAACCGGGGGAACUGAAACAUCUAAGUACCCCGAGGAAAAGAAAUCAACCGAGAUUCCCCCAGUAGCGGCGAGCGAACGGGGAGGAGCCCAGAGCCUGAAUCAGCAUGUGUGUUAGUGGAAGCGUCUGGAAAGGCGCGCGAUACAGGGUGACAGCCCCGUACACAAAAGCGCAUGUGCUGUGAGCUCGAUGAGUAGGGCGGGACACGUGGUAUCCUGUCUGAAUAUGGGGGGACCAUCCUCCAAGGCUAAAUACUCCUGACUGACCGAUAGUGAACCAGUACCGUGAGGGAAAGGCGAAAAGAACCCCGGCGAGGGGAGUGAAAAAGAACCUGAAACCGUGUACGUACAAGCAGUGGGAGCACAGGUUUACCUGUGUGACUGCGUACCUUUUGUAUAAUGGGUCAGCGACUUAUAUUCUGUAGCAAGGUUAACCGAAUAGGGGAGCCGGAGGGAAACCGAGUCUUAACCGGGCGUUAAGUUGCAGGGUAUAGACCCGAAACCCGGUGAUCUAGCCAUGGGCAGGUUGAAGGUUGGGUAACACUAACUGGAGGACCGAACCGACUAAUGUUGAAAAAUUAGCGGAUGACCUGUGGCUGGGGGUGAAAGGCCAAUCAAACCGGGAGAUAGCUGGUUCUCCCCGAAAGCUAUUUAGGUAGCGCCUCGUGAAUUCAUCUCCGGGGGUAGAGCACUGUUUCGGCUAGGGGGCCAUCCCGGCUUACCAACCCGAUGCAAACUGCGAAUACCGGAGAAUGUUAUCACGGGAGACACACGGCGGGUGCUAACGUCCGUCGUGAAGAGGGAAACAACCCAGACCGCCAGCUAAGGUCCCAAAGUCAUGGUUAAGUGGGAAACGAUGUGGGAAGGCCCAGACAGCCAGGAUGUUGGCUUAGAAGCAGCCAUCAUUUAAAGAAAGCGUAAUAGCUCACUGGUCGAGUCGGCCUGCGCGGAAGAUGUAACGGGGCUAAACCAUGCACCGAAGCUGCGGCAGCGACGCUGAUGCGUUGUUGGGUAGGGGAGCGUUCUGUAAGCCUGCGAAGGUGGCCUGUGAGGGUUGCUGGAGGUAUCAGAAGUGCGAAUGCUGACAUAAGUAACGAUAAAGCGGGUGAAAAGCCCGCUCGCCGGAAGACCAAGGGUUCCUGUCCAACGUUAAUCGGGGCAGGGUGAGUCGACCCCUAAGGCGAGGCCGAAAGGCGUAGUCGAUGGGAAACGGGUUAAUAUUCCCGUACUUG
rnacentral:rRNA from 3 species